rnacentral:lncRNA from 1 species
UGCGCCUUGGUAGCAGGCGAAACACAAGCGCCACUAGAACAAGCACUUGACGAGGUGGUCGUGGAUCGUCAUGCCCAACGCUGCCGAACAGAUGACGUUAUCACAGCGCUGCAGAAGUGAUGGAAGUCCCUGGGGAAUAAAUUUCGGCGCCUGGGAAGACGUUUCAGAAAGAAAAGAGCUGCGCCGUGCCAGUCGACGUUCACGACGACGUCAUCUGGCUGUUUUUCGACCAGAUGUUGUUUCUGCGCUACACAAUGGAGUGUAGACCGAUGUCCGCCAACCUUCCACCAGUGCCCCC